rnacentral:rRNA from 1 species
GAUGAACGCUGGCGGCGUGCCUAAUACAUGCAAGUCGAGCGAACAGACGAGGAGCUUGCUCCUUUGACGUUAGCGGCGGACGGGUGAGUAACACGUAGGUAACCUACCUAUAAGACUGGGAUAACUUCGGGAAACCGGAGCUAAUACCGGAUAAUAUUUCGAACCGCAUGGUUCGAUAGUGAAAGAUGGCUUUGCUAUCACUUAUAGAUGGACCUGCGCCGUAUUAGCUACUUGGUAAGGUAACGGCUUACCAAGGCAACGAUACGUAGCCGACCUGAGAGGGUGAUCGGCCACACUGGAACUGAGACACGGUCCAGACUCCUACGGGAGGCAGCAGUAGGGAAUCUUCCGCAAUGGGCGAAAGCCUGACGGAGCAACGCCGCGUGAGUGAUGAAGGUCUUCGGAUCGUAAAACUCUGUUAUUAGGGAAGAACAAACGUGUAAGUAACUGUGCACGUCUUGACGGUACCUAAUCAGAAAGCCACGGCUAACUACGUG